rnacentral:rRNA from 1 species
UACGUAGGGGGCAAGCGUUGUCCGGAAUUAUUGGGCGUAAAGAGCGUGUAGGCGGUCCGGUAAGUCGGCUGUGAAAGUCCAGGGCUCAACCCUGGGAUGCCGGUCGAUACUGCCGGACUAGAGUUCGGAAGAGGCGAGUGGGAAUUCCCGGUGUAGCGGUGAAAGUGCGCAGAUAUCAGGAAGAACGACCCGGUGGCGAAAGGCG